GCCAGAAGCUGGUAUCCGGCUAUGCAUCUCGUUUGCAACAGGUCAUAACAGCACAAUAAUGCUCUACUAAAUACUAAGGAUGCAGUGCCAUAAGGGAUUUAAUAAUUGUGAGACUGGAGAAGUCAUGAUAAGUUGCAUUUUCUGUUGAAUUUGUGGAAACUACUGGAAGCAUUUGUGUUGAGAUUUUUCAAUUGCUUUUGUUUGAC